rnacentral:tRNA from 1 species
GCCUCGGUGGUGUAGUGGGAAGCACGACAGACCGGAUAUCUGUAAGUGCGGAUAUGAGUCCCGCUUGAGGUU